GGCGGCUCCGAUCCCACCUUCACCAGCGUGUUACGGGUUCUGGUCAAAGCUGAUGUGACCGAGCCCAUCACUGUAUACCGACACCGGCGCGCGCGAGUGAAAAACCUUCUACUUUAAACAGCCGACAUUCUGAUUCAGAGAGAGAUAAACGGAGGUACUGAUGCAGCGUUCAGGAGCGAACAACUUCUCCGGUGUUGUGCAGCCGAGUGCGUGACGUCACGACAACUUUGACGAUGGUGGAGUAUUUAUAGUUUCCAUUAGUUAUUUCACUCUGCUUAAUGACGGCAACCACAUGAGAACGUGUCGUAUUUGAGUGGAAACCCGGUGGGAAGAGCUGCAGUGUCUGGGGGAUUCUCAGGUCCAGGCCACAAACAAAAACAGCACCAAACACACAUGCUAAUAACGACACUAAUCACCAUCACUAUCACCCUCGACUGGCUCACGAGCUGCUCAAAUGUAAAGAAGAACAACAAUCUUCAGUCGUCUCAAGGUUCAGGUUGCUGCUACAGUAUGAAGAGAUUUUUCAGGAAGGAAAAAAGUCAGAACAAAGUUUUCAAAUAAAGUUUUGUGUAUUUGCAA